rnacentral:rRNA from 1 species
UACGUAGGGGGCAAGCGUUGUCCGGAAUCAUUGGGCGUAAAGAGCGUGUAGGCGGCCCGGUAAGUCUGUUGUGAAAGUCCAGGGCUCAACCCUGGAAUGCCGAUGGAUACUGCCGGGCUAGAGUUCGGAAGAGGCGAGUGGAAUUCCUGGUGUAGCGGUGGAAUGCGCAGAGUAUCAGGAGGAACACCAGUGGCGAAGGCGGGUCUCUGGGCAAUAACUGACGCUGAGGAGCGAAAGCGUGGGGAGCGAACAGG